rnacentral:rRNA from 1 species
GAUGAACGCUGGCGGCGUGCCUAAUACAUGCAAGUCGAGCGAACAGACGAGGAGCUUGCUCCUCUGACGUUAGCGGCGGACGGGUGAGUAACACGUGGAUAACCUACCUAUAAGACUGGGAUAACUUCGGGAAACCGGAGCUAAUACCGGAUAAUAUAUUGAACCGCAUGGUUCAAUAGUGAAAGACGGUUUUGCUGUCACUUAUAGAUGGAUCCGCGCCGCAUUAGCUAGUUGGUAAGGUAACGGCUUACCAAGGCAACGAUGCGUAGCCGACCCGAGAGGGUGAUCGGCCACACUGGAACUGAGACACGGUCCAGACUCCUACGGGAGGCAGCAGUAGGGAAUCUUCCGCAAAGGGCGAAAGCCUGACGGAGCAACGCCGCGUGAGUGAUGAAGGUCUUCGGAUCGUAAAACUCUGUUAUUAGGGAAGAACAAAUGUGUAAGUAACUAUGCACGUCUUGACGGUACCUAAUCAGAAAGCCACGGCUAACUACGUG